rnacentral:rRNA from 1 species
CUACCAUGCUGUCGAACGGAUCCUUCGGGAUUAGUGGCGGACGGGUGAGUAACACGUGGGAACGUGCCCUUUGGUUCGGAACGACUCAGAGGAAACUUGAGCUAAUACCGGAUGUGCCCUUCGGGGGAAAGAUUUAUCGCCAUUGGAGCGGCCCGCGUCUGAUUAGCUAGUUGGUGGGGUAAAGGCCCACCAAGGCGACGAUCAGUAGCUGGUCUGAGAGGAUGAUCAGCCACAUUGGGACUGAGACACGGCCCAAACUCCUACGGGAGGCAGCAGUGGGGAAUCUUGCGCAAUGGGCGAAAGCCUGACGCAGCCAUGCCGCGUGAAUGAUGAAGGUCUUAGGAUUGUAAAAUUCUUUCACCGGGGACGAUAAUGACGGUACCCGGAGAAGAAGCCCCG